rnacentral:lncRNA from 8 species
AACCUUUAAAAGUCAACAAGGCACCAGACACUACUGGACAAACAAAUUGCACUACAGUUUUGUGCAGAUAAACUGACGUUUGGAAAAGCUAUCAAUCUCAUUGUUGAACCCAAAGGAAUUGCUGCCCGCCCAACACUCUCCAUCCUCACCCCACUACACAAGAGUGGGGAUGAUGACCAGCCUAAGGUGUGCCUGGCUACAGGCUUCUUUCCUAGUACGAAAAACAUGAAUCUGAUCCUGGGGAAUAAUGAUACUGUCCAACUCAGCACAACCAAGGCAGCUUUAUCUUCCACACGUACCUACUUCUUUGCCGGAUUCUCCAAAGAGAAUAUCAAGCGUUGUGAGAUGGAUGGCAACGUCGAGCCGCCCGUUGAUGAUAAAGAUGAUUCUACAGAUGUGUCUAACUAUAACACCACGGCUACAACUGCUUCUGUCAAUUGCAAAGAUGAACCCCUCAACAAUGUUACUACCACCAACUAUACCGAUUAUACCAAGAUGAACUUCACAUCCUUGGUUGUGUAUGGUUUGAGAGUGCUGUUUGCCAAAGCCGUGGCAUUUAAUGUGCUAUUUACUGUCAAGGCCCUGGUGUUCUAGACAUUAUUUCACUUGGACUCCUACUUUUCAGUUCUGCUUUGCAUCCAGUUUGUCAAACCUGCCUUGUGGUUUUAUCAAGAGCUUCAACAAUAUUAGUAUCUGACUUCUUCAGGGUUGAAUGCUGCAAUACCUCUGCUUACAUUUUGGAAAUACUAGAUACUAAAUACACAUGUAAUGCAUGUGAUUAUUUGCUAUUGAACAUUAGAUUACAUUUUAUGUUCUAUAUCAUUUUAUAUUAUGUUAUAUUAUUUCUAUUUACAUGUAUUAUAUAUUUAACUGCAAGUUGUCAUCAAGUGUAUAAAGACUCCAAAAAUGAUUUCAAACAAUAAUGUCAUUGUACAUUGAUCAAGUUAUGUACGUGGAUACCUUGCAGUUGUUUCUAAAUGCACAAAACCUGUCAAUAGAGAAUUUAAACCACAUUUUCACCAGUACAUUGAAACCAUAUGAACAGUCAAACCAAAUGAACAGAUAAAGAUCUAUCAGACACCUUGACUUCCAAGAAAUGGCUCCAUCAGUUACUUUAUUUGCAUGCGUGCUCAAGAAGUGACAAUAGCGAGAAACACACAUGAUAGUGAGAAACACACACCUUAUAAUGGUUGAUGAAUUGUAUUAUGAAAAUAAUUUGCAAUUACAUGUGUGUCUGAUAUCAGUCAAACAUUUUUAUUAUCGUAUAUGGGAGCUGUAAAUGUAUUGAAAUAAACAGACACAGCUUUUUUUAUUCUAAUCUAAACCAUUAUGAACGUGAAAAGGUGGAUGUCUAUCAAAUGACUAAAAUGGUUGGAAAGUAGUUGUCAGACUCCGGUUUACCAGAAACAUUUGCUUCGGACUAUUCAUUAGGCCUUCAGAUUUAGUAGAGAAGUGCACAUUUUAAAAUAUGAGAUGAUGUUGCCCUCUGCUGGUUGUAAAUGUAUUUUUCUCCGUUGACAUUGUGACCACUAAAUCAGCUGGGCUCAGUUUUUCAAACGUUAUCUGUCUGGAUUUUGCCUAUUGGAUAGGAUUAAAUGCAUAGAAAUAGACUGACAGGAAUGGGAAUCCCCAUUCAAGUCAACGAUUUGUCCAUUCUAUUCAUUCUAUUUCCAUGCACUUAAUCCUAUCCGAUAGGCCAAAUCCAGAAAACGUUUGAAAAACUGGGCCCUGGGUGUUGCUUCACUGCGUGUAUCUUAUUGUAUUUUCUUGAUUCUUCAUGUCCUUCCUCUUUGUCUCCUUCUGGUUCCUUCUCCUCUGAUGCGUUUUGAGAAGGAGGCAUAGAGAGAUGAUGUGAGGGAAAAAUGUCAUGCAGUAUUGUGUUUUCAGUUGUGUAUCUUCUAUAUGAUCAAUUGAACCACUGUAAUACAUUUUGCUUGUGAAUUUGCAGCUUUUUGGUGUUCAAGUGUUUUAUUAAAUGAAUAAAUACAUCAUAUUUUUCAUGUUAUUGGUACAUUUUGGUGGAGAUGCACAUGUAGUACACAUCUAGAGGCCCUAUAAGCACUGGUCAAAAGUACUUCACUAUAUAGGGAAUAGGGUUCCAUUUGGGACUCAACCUGAUCUUUUCUCCACACACAUGGUCGAGUAGCCAACAACUGGUCCUAAAAACUAUAGUGUUGAAAGUCUAAACCUUUCCUAGGUCUACCUGAUCUCUUUCAACACUGAGACUGGCACACAAGACCAAGGUCUACCUAAUGUAGGCCACAGGUGAGGCUUUGAAUUUGUGGUCUCUUCAGUGGAGCAAUGUAGGCCAGUAGGUCAAAAGUAUGUACAUUAUAUAUCUGAUAUCCUGAUCAUUUCCUGCAAGACAAAGAUGUAUGAUAAAGAGAAGUAUAAAUGAGUCCUGAAUGGAAGAACAUGCCGGUAUUCAGCAAAGAGCACACAAAGACUUAAAG